CAAUAAGGGUAAAAAAAAUCAGUAUGGAGAGUUUUGCACUCGGUAAGAAGCUGCAUUUUUUUAAAUGAACUUUAUGGUGGUAACUGUAACUCUGCUUCAUCCCACCACCAUGUCACUGCUUAUUUUCCAGUAACAAGAAAUGAAACCAUGGUGUGUUUUAUUCCUUACUUAAUGUGGUCAUAUUCUAGUGUGUUUGCUUAUUCACCUGCAAACAUCUGACAGUCCAUAAACUCAACCAAGCUUCUGAUUAAACAUAAAAUUUAAUGGAACUGAAAGUUAUAUUUAAAAAAAAUAGACAUCGCACAAUAUCCCAAAUAAUUAUAUAUUUAAAAUCACAGAUUAGAAAUUUUUGAGACAUGGAGAGGUUUUCUCAUAGAAGAAGCCAUCAAAUUUCCCCCAAGAUAAGGAGUGUCUCUAUGCAAAUGUCCUUCCCCGAUGUAUAUUUAAGCAAUGAAGACCGGGAGCUUUUAUUUAUUCUGCUUCAACACACACCAUGAUCUCUACAUCCCUACUGCUGCUGCUGCUGGCAGCCGUACACUGUGUUCACUGUGUUGAACUGAUCCAGCCUGGAUCCAUGAUAUUAACCCCUGGUCAGUCAAUGACUCUGACCUGCAAAGUGUCUGGAUAUUCAUUAACUGAUAGCAGCUACUGUACACACUGGAUACGACAACCUGCUGGAAAAGCUCUGGAGUGGGUCGGAUGUAUAUGUGGUGGCGGUAGCACUUACUACAGUGAGAAACUGAAAAGCAGGUUUCAGGUUUCCAGAGACACAUCCAGAAGCACAGUAACAUUAACAGGGCAGAGCAUGCAGAGUGAAGACACAGCUGUGUAUUACUGCGCUCGUGAACCACAGUGA